AUACGUAGGGUGCAAGCGUUAAUCGGAAUUACUGGGCGUAAAGCGUGCGCAGGCGGCUUUGUAAGACAGAGGUGAAAUCCCCGGGCUCAACCUGGGAACCGCCUUUGUUACUGCAAGGCUAGAGAACGGCAGAGGGGGAUGGAAUUCCGCCUUGAGCAGGGAAAUGCGUAGAUAUGCGGAGGAACACCGAUGGAGAAGGCAAUCCCCUGGGCCUGUACUGACGCUCAUGCACGAAAGCGUGGGGAGCAAACAGGAUUAGAUACCCUGGUAGUCCACGCCCUAAACGAUGUCAACUGGUUGUUGGGUCUUUAUUGACUCAGUAACGAAGCUAACGCGUGAAGUUGACCGCCUGGGGAGUACGGCCGCAAGGUUGAAACUCAAAUGAAUUGACGGGU
rnacentral:rRNA from 1 species